rnacentral:rRNA from 1 species
CCUACGGGCGGCUGCAGUGGGGAAUAUUGCACAAUGGGCGCAAGCCUGAUGCAGCCAUGCCGCGUGUGUGAAGAAGGCCUUCGGGUUGUAAAGCACUUUCAGCGGGGAGGAAGGCGUUAAGGUUAAUAACCUUGUCGAUUGACGUUACCCGCAGAAGAAGCACCGGCUAACUCCGUGCCAGCAGCCGCGGUAAUACGGAGGGUGCAAGCGUUAAUCGGAAUUACUGGGCGUAAAGCGCACGCAGGCGGUCUGUCAAGUCGGAUGUGAAAUCCCCGGGCUCAACCUGGGAACUGCAUUCGAAACUGGCAGGCUAGAGUCUUGUAGAGGGGGGUAGAAUUCCAGGUGUAGCGGUGAAAUGCGUAGAGAUCUGGAGGAAUACCGGUGGCGAAGGCGGCCCCCUGGAUAAAGACUGACGCUCAGGUGCGAAAGCGUGGGGAGCAAACAGGAUUAGAUACCCUAGUAGUC